CCCUCGAUAGCUCAGUUGGCAGAGAGGAGGACUGUAGAUGUUACAACGGUGAUCCUUAGGUCGCUGGUUCAAAUCCGGCUCGAGGGA
rnacentral:tRNA from 1 species